rnacentral:rRNA from 1 species
CCUACGGGAGGCAGCAGUGAGGAAUAUUGGUCAAUGGCCGGAAGGCUGAACCAGCCAAGCCGCGUGAAGGACGAAGGUGCCAAGCAUUGUAAACUUCUUUUGUCAAGGGACAAAAUCAGGCUCGAGAGCCUGACCGAGGGUACUUGAAGAAAAAGCAUCGGCAAACUCCGUGCCAGCAGCCGCGGUAAUACGGAGGAUGCGAGCGUUAUCGGGAUUUAUGGGGUGAAAGGGGUGCGUAGGCGGGCUGUUAAGUCAGCGGUAAAAGCCCGGGGCUCAACCCCGGCGAGCCGUUGAAACUGGCUGUCUUGAGAUGUCGAGAGGUAUGCGGAAUGCGCAGUGUAGCGGUGAAAUGCUUAGAUAUUGGGAAGAACUCCGAUUGCGAAGGCAGCAUACCGGCGGCGAUCUGACGCUGAGGCACGAAAGCGUGGGUAUCGAACAGGAUUAGAUACCCGAGUAGUC